UGGCCAACACUGAUGAAUAUGGUUCAUGGUUCGUCAGAAUUAUCUGCACGUGUCUAAGCAAUGCUAAAGAUGAGCCCUUGUUGAAAAUUUUCACCAUUGUUCAGAAUAAAAUGCAUCAAGCGUCACGCUCUUCAAUAAACUUAGCAAACCACACUUAUCUUGGGCAGACACCAGAGCUCAAAAUGUUUCAACAGGACAGAAAAUUCAUAAUCUCAAAGGCAAAAAUCGCUGGAAAACCUUUUUCAACCCAUGAUGGGCGUGGUAUCGUGAGCAAAGUCUCGAAUGAAAUACUUUCCGAAUAUUUCUCCUGGAAAUCGGACGAAGGAAAUGAGAUCAGGGGUCGUAGAGGUUUCAUUUUAUCCGUGGUCCAAAACCAACAAGUGCAAGAAAUAAAAAGAGUACUUCAAAACCAAGACUUCGAAAUUACCGACUGGACACUUAGCGAUCAAUCCUUGAUGUUUUAUAAUGAGCUAGGCUAGUAUUUAAUAUAAAUUUAGGAUUUAAAUUUGAUUUAAUUCUGGUUUUAUGCAGUGUCCCAGUUGGAACCAGACGUGGGCUGCAUCAUGACCUGCAUAUUUAGCCCUGUAUGUGUAAACGAAGAAAAAGAGGUUUGCGUGCGCGUGGGUCAAAAGACUCGUCCAAUCACGAGCAUCAUACAGAGUUUGGUCGGCCCUAAAAAUGAAAAAUUGAUAGGAAAGCCGAAAAUUCUGUUCGUUGUUAACAUGGAGGCACCACAAAGGGACAAUGUCUCUAAGACCAUGAAAGAUUCACAAGUCUCUGCUACAAACCAUAGUGGCUGGCUAGUUUUGAUAUUAAAAUAUGAAGAUGCAUUAGAGGAAAUGAUUGAACUUUUUGGGAAGAUCGACGAGAAAAGCCUGCAAGAACUUCUGGAGCCUCUACUAACUCGUGAGUCCAAUAGAGAUGACAUGGUUCUUCUCAAUUCUACUUUGCAAUAUCUCAUCAAAUUCCCUAUUUGGCCAAGAGCAUUUGUCAAACCCGAUUUCAAGUUUAAAAAGACAAAAACCCUCCGUGGCCGUAUGGAUAGUUUUAAAAUUUCAACUGUAACUCGUAAAGAGAAGAUCGAUUUUGCAACAUUAUUGAAAAAAGCCAAAACAUUGUUUGAUGAAAACAAAAAAUCGAUUGAGACCCUGAGUAGUCUAGAACAUCCACAAAUUUCAAGCGAUAUUCAAUCUUCGAUAACGAUGAAUCACGCCAAAGAUUUAGAAGCAAUCUCCCCAGAGAGAGAUCCAGCUGAAGCGAGCAUUGUUUGGCUAUUUAAUUCAGUUGCUGGAGCAGGCAAAUCAACCAUUCUUAUAGAAAUGAAGUACCAACUAACCAAAAAUGAUGGAGGUUUUAAAAUACUGCUGAUUCCUCUAAAAAAAUACUAUCGGUACUUAUUUGAAAUGCCGCCUGCAUCAAAUGUCGAAGAUGGAAUCCAAUUCCUCGUAAAAACAACAUGCAAUUCUAAAGACGACAUCACCAACUGGAUUAAGAAGAGAGAACUCAUUGUUUUCCUCGACGGAUUUGACGAAAUGUGCCCAGAUUUCAGAGAAAAAAUCUUAAAAAUCUUGAUCGCAUUAAAUAAUGCAAGAGUCCCACUCUUUAUCGGAACCAGGCCUCACGAAGUGCACCAUAUUCAAGAUAAGAUAGACAACUCGACGAUAGUUGAGAUCAAACCCCUGGAUGAAUCAAAGCAAAUAGAGUUUCUCAAGACCGUUGCCGGAAAGAAUCUGCAAGAAAUCAAAUCAUUGAGAGAGAAGUUCAAAGAACAAGACAUUCUGAGAAACCCACUCUAUCUCUCUUUGUUGGCAGAGUAUGGAGGUGAAGGAAACCUGUAUGAAAUAUUUGACAAAAUAGUGCGACACAAAGUAGAAAUUUGUUUGAAGAGAGAAAAUGGAGGAAAAGAUGUGGGAGAGGGGAUGAUUCACAAAUCAUUGCAGUUCAUUCAAUUGGUGGCCUCUCGUUAUGUAACAGGAGUAAAGAUUGACCAAGGCAGUGUUACGAAGGAAGAAUUGGAAAAAAUGAACGCUUUUGGAGUUGUGACAUAUUAUAAUGAGAGAGUAAAUUUCACUCACCAAACGUUUGCAGAAUUUCUUACCGCACAAAAAUUUGUAUUUGAUUUAACAAACCCACAAACUCAAAAAGUGCCCUUGUUCAACGAUGAAUUGGUGCAGUGCAGGAAGUUCGUAGACCUUUUCUUUUCUACGAAAAUGGAUGAGGACACGUUCUACUCAUUGUCAGAGGCAUUUAGAUUUUGUGCUAAAUCAACAGACUCUUUGAAAUUAGUCAAACAAUUUUGUCAAGAGAAUUUGCAACAAAUGUUCAAGCUGCUCAACCCCGAUCUCUCAUUAAAAGAUGAAUAUGGUAAAAACGCUUUGCACUUCGCUUUGCACCACCUUGAAAUGGUCAAGAUGGUACACGAAAUGGAC